UACGGAGGGUGCGAGCGUUAAUCGGAAUCACUGGGCGUAAAGCGCGCGUAGGCGGCAAGGUCAGUCAGGUGUGAAAUCCCUGGGCUUAACCUGGGAAUGGCAUUUGAUACUGCAUUGCUCGAGUCUGGUAGAGGGGGGUGGAAUUCCCGGUGUAGCGGUGAAAUGCGUAGAGAUCGGGAGGAACACCAGUGGCGAAGGCGGCCCCCUGGUCCAGUACUGACACUCAAGUGCGAAAGCGUGGGGAGCAAACAGG
rnacentral:rRNA from 1 species